rnacentral:rRNA from 1 species
UUAGGGGUUUCUGGUUUUUCAAGAAAUGAAUUUAAUUCAUACGUCUUAUUUAGAGUUUUAUUAUUUGUUUAUUUAUUUUUAUUUGGCGUUAAGAUUGGGAGGGAUUAGCUUCUUAUUUUAUUUUUAUAAUUUUUUGUUUUUUUAGUCUUGUGGGUUUUAUAGUGAUUUUCAAUUUGAUUAUGUUAAAAUUUUAUUUGUUUUGUUCUGUUAUUUUUAUUUAUUUAAUUAUUUAUUGAAAUGUAUUCUUUAUCUUUGGUUUAUGGUUAGUAAUUAUUGUAGAAUUAGUAAAUUUGUUGUUAAAUUGUUUUAUUUGUGUUAAUUUUCUUUGAGGAACUAGGCAAAUUUCAUGUCCGCCUGUUUAACAAAAACAUCUUUUCUUGUUAGUUUUUGAAGUAUGGCCUGCCCGCUGACUUUGGUGUUGAAGGGCCGCGGUAUUUUGACCGUGCAAAGGUAGCAUAGUCAUUAGUUCUUUAAUUGUGAUCUGGUAUGAAUGGCUUGACGAGGCAUGGGCUGUCUUAAUUUUGAAUUGUUUAUUGAAUUUGGUCUUUGAGUUAAAAUUCUUAGAUGUUUUUAUGGGACGAGAAGACCCUAUAGAGUUUAACAUUUGUUAUGGUCCUCUUUCUGUUUGUGAGGGUUCACUGGGCCGUUUAAUAUGUUUUGUUGGGGUGAUGGGAGGGAUUAAUUUAA